rnacentral:rRNA from 1 species
AACGAACGCUGGCGGCAUGCCUAACACAUGCAAGUCGAACGAGACCUUCGGGUCUAGUGGCGCACGGGUGCGUAACGCGUGGGAACCUGCCCUUAGGUUCGGAAUAACUCCCCGAAAGGGGUGCUAAUACCGGAUAAUGUCUUCGGACCAAAGAUUUAUCGCCUUUGGAUGGGCCCGCGUUGGAUUAGCUAGUUGGUAGGGUAAAAGCCUACCAAGGCGACGAUCCAUAGCUGGUCUGAGAGGAUGAUCAGCCACACUGGGACUGAGACACGGCCCAGACUCCUACGGGAGGCAGCAGUAGGGAAUAUUGGACAAUGGGCGAAAGCCUGAUCCAGCAAUGCCGCGUGAGUGAUGAAGGCCUUAGGGUUGUAAAGCUCUUUUACCCGGGAUGAUAAUGACAGUACCGGGAGAAUAAGCUCCGGCUAACUCCG